UACGUAGGGGGCAAGCGUUGUCCGGAUUUAUUGGGCGUAAAGAGCGUGUAGGCGGCCAUACAGGUCCGUUGUGAAAACUGGAGGCUUAACCUCCAGACGUCGAUGGAAACCGUAUGGCUAGAGUCCGGAAGAGGAGAGUGGAAUUCCCGGUGUAGCAGUGAAAUGCGUAGAGAUCGGGAGGAACACCUAUGGCGAAGGCAGCUUGCUGGGACGGUACUGACGCUGAGACGCGAAAGCGUGGGGAGCAAACAGG
rnacentral:rRNA from 1 species